UUUCCGUAGGUGAACCUGCGGAAGGAUCAUUAUUGAAUACCAAAACGGGUUUAUUCAACCCAAACACAAUGUUAUAUAAUGUUUGAACACUUUACCUUCCCAUUGCAUACUCUUUGAAUGUAGUGGGAUAGGCAGAGUACACAACUGUUUAUUUAUUGUUUGAAUCUAAAAAUCAAAUAUUAAAAAACUUUCAACAGUGGAUCUCUUGGCUUGCCCAUCGAUGAAGAACGCAGC
rnacentral:misc_RNA from 1 species